rnacentral:rRNA from 1 species
AUUGAACGCUGGCGGCAUGCCUUACACAUGCAAGUCGAACGGCAGCACGGGAGCAAUCCUGGUGGCGAGUGGCGAACGGGUGAGUAAAGUAUCGGAACGUGCCCAGUCGUGGGGGAUAACGUAGCGAAAGUUACGCUAAUACCGCAUACGAUCUAUGGAUGAAAGCGGGGGAUCGCAAGACCUCGCGCGAUUGGAGCGGCCGAUAUCAGAAUAGGUAGUGGGUGGGGUAAAGGCCCACCAAGCCGACGAUCUGUAGCUGGUCUGAGAGGACGACCAGCCACACUGGGACUGAGACACGGCCCAGACUCCAACGGGAGGCAGCAGUGGGGAAUUUUGGACAAUGGGCGAAAGCCUGAUCCAGCCAUGCCGCGUGCAGGAUGAAGGCCUUCGGGUUGUAAACUGCUUUUGUACGGAACGAAAAGGACUGCCCUAAUACGGUGGUCCCAUGACGGUACCGUAAGAAUAAGCACCGGCUAACUACGUGCCAGCCGCCGCAGUAAAAC